AAUGCAAGCUGGCUUAUCGUUCUUCGGAAUACCGAAGGAAGGAAAGUCCGGGCAACACAGAGCAUCGUACUUCCUAACGGGAAGGCUUCUCGGUUCUACCGAGGGGACAGACAGUGCCACAGAAAACAAACUACCUCUGAUUACUAUCAGCGGAAAAGGUGAAAAGGUGAGGUAAGAGCUCACCGCCCCGAAGGUAACUAAGGGGGCACGGUAAACCUUACGAGUUGAAAGAUCAAAUAAGUCACGCUAGCCUGCCUAGGCGGCUGUCAGGCUGCUCGUCUGACUUUCUUCGGAAAUAAGCGUGAUGGGUAGAUCGCUUUUGAUCUCAACGGUGACGUUGAGGCUAGAUAAAUGAUAAGCCAUCCCGACUUGUCGGGAGGACAGAACCCGGCUUACAGGCUUGCAUUUUUU
rnacentral:RNase_P_RNA from 1 species